UUUGUGCUUGGGGUCAGCGAAGCCAUGGCGACCAGCGGUCAGAUGGAGUUCAGAAACCCUUACAGGGGACGAGCAAACUGGAGGAUAACUGGUGCGAAGCCGCUGCCGGUGUGAAUGCAGGGCAGUGCAAACUAAGACUCCACUGGACAGAAGGGGGAGCAGAGAUGAAGCCAUGGAGAAGCUAAAGGUGUUUCUGUGGGUUCCUCCCCUUACAGAGGUGUAGAAGGACAGGAGAGAAGAACAGAGGCUCACGGAGUUGCAGUCAACUGACGAAACUCAACAACAUCGGCUCCCCCAACUCCACCCCACCCUACACACCCGUCUGGGGUGACAUCACCCUGUGAUGUCAUCAAGAGACCACCGGAGGCAUGCCGGCGUGACAUCACUCUGGC